rnacentral:misc_RNA from 1 species
CUUGGUUUAGAGGAAGUAAAAGUCGUAACAAGGUUUCCGUAGGUGAACCUGCGGAAGGAUCAUUACCAAUAAAUUUACAAUUCAACCCAUGUGCACUGUGAUCUAAUUGUCUUGGUUUUUGGGGGUGUUCUUCAUAUCGAGGUUCACCCCAACCAUUUUUGUUUAACAACUGCUUAUAUUAUUUCAUGGCAUCGUAACUUGUCUUAAUAAUUAUUAUGACAACUUUUAACGGUGGAUCUCUUGGCUCGUGG